rnacentral:rRNA from 1 species
UACGUAGGGUGCGAGCGUUGUCCGGAAUUACUGGGCGUAAAGAGCUCGUAGGUGGUUUGUCGCGUUGUUCGUGAAAACUCACAGCUUAACUGUGGGCGUGCGGGCGAUACGGGCAGACUGGAGUACUGCAGGGGAGACUGGAAUUCCUGGUGUAGCGGUGGAAUGCGCAGAUAUCAGGAGGAACACCGGUGGCGAAGGCGGGUCUCUGGGCAGUAACUGACGCUGAGAAGCGAAAGCAUGGGGAGCGAACAGG